AAUCCAACAUGAGGGUACGGUUCUGAAGUGAACUUGCUCUGUGUCUAGGCACAUAUCUGUAGCGCCAACCAGAAACCCUCCAUAAAUGCAGUCAGCGCACAGUAGUAUAGGACUUAGAGGCUUGCAGCCUAGUUGGGUGAGGAGGGGUAGUGAUAACUGAAGGAGCCCAAGCACAGGUCGUCUGGUCAGCAUCCUCCACAGAAAGCUGAAAGGAUGACCCUAUCACCUGGCUCACUGGUCCAAGUGAAUCGGGAACGCAUGGCAUCAAAAGCAUGGAGGAAGGCAGACAUAUAUGAUUGCACUGUUUCCCGUGCCUGUUGGACC